GGACUACUAGGGUUUCUAAUCCUGUUUGCUCCCCACGCUUUCGCACCUCAGCGUCAAUACUUGUCCAGCGAGCCGCCUUCGCCACUGGUGUUCUUCCGAAUAUCUACGAAUUUCACCUCUACACUCGGAAUUCCACUCGCCUCUCCAAGAUUCUAGCAAUCCAGUCUCAAAGGCAGUUCCGGGGUUGAGCCCCGGGCUUUCACCUCUGACUUAAAUCGCCGCCUACGUGCGCUUUACGCCCAGUAAUUCCGAACAACGCUAGCUCCCUCCGUAUUACCGCGGCGGCUGGCAC
rnacentral:misc_RNA from 1 species